UACGUAGGUGGCAAGCGUUGUCCGGAUUUAUUGGGUUUAAAGGGUGCGUAGGCGGUCUAUUAAGUCAGUUGUGAAAUACGGCAGCUCAACUGUCGAGGUGCAAUUGAUACUGAUGGACUUGAGUACUGAUGAGGUAAGCGGAAUGGACGGUGUAGCGGUGAAAUGCUUAGAUAUCGUCCAGAACACCGAUAGUGUAGACAGCUAACUAAGCUUUAACUGACGCUGAGGCACGAAAGUGUGGGGAUCAAACAGG
rnacentral:rRNA from 1 species